GAUGAACGCUGGCGGCGUGCCUAACACAUGCAAGUCGAACGAGAGAUGAGGAGCUUGCUCUUCAGAUCGAGUGGCGAACGGGUGAGUAACGCGUGAGGAACCUGCCUCAAAGAGGGGACAACAGUUGGAACGACUGCUAAUACCGCAUAAGCCCACGGGUCGGCAUCGACCAGAGGGAAAGGAGCAAUCCGCUUUGAGAUGGCCUCGCGUCCGAUUAGCUAGUUGGUGAGGUAACGGCCCACCAAGGCAACGAUCGGUAGCCGGACUGAGAGGUUGAACGGCCACAUUGGGACUGAGACACGGCCCAGACUCCUACGGGAGGCAGCAGUGGGGAAUAUUGCACAAUGGGGGAAACCCUGAUGCAGCGACGCCGCGUGGAGGAAGAAGGUCUUCGGAUUGUAAACUCCUGUUGUUGGGGAAGAUAAUGACGGUACCCAACAAGGAAGUGACGGCUAACUACGUG
rnacentral:rRNA from 1 species